rnacentral:rRNA from 1 species
AGAGUUUGAUCCUGGCUCAGGAUGAACGCUAGCGGCAGGCCUAACACAUGCAAGUCGAGGGGUAGAGUUCUUCGGAACUUGAGACCGGCGCACGGGUGCGUAACGCGUAUGCAAUCUACCUUAUACAGGGGAAUAGCCCAGAGAAACUUGGAUUAAUGCCCCAUAGUAUUAUUGAAUCGCAUGGUUUGAUAAUUAAAGUUCCAACGGUAUAAGAUGAGCAUGCGUCCCAUUAGUUAGUUGGUAAGGUAACGGCUUACCAAGACAAUGAUGGGUAGGGGUCCUGAGAGGGAGAUCCCCCACACUGGUACCGAGACACGGACCAGACUCCUACGGGAGGCAGCAGUGAGGAAUAUUGGUCAAUGGUCGCAAGACUGAACCAGCCAUGCCGCGUGCAGGAAGACGGUCCUAUGGAUUGUAAACUGCUUUUAUACAGGAAGAAACCCUCCCACGUGUGGGAGCUUGACGGUACUGUAGGAAUAAGGAUCGGCUAACUCCGUGCCAGCAGCCGCGGUAAUACGGAGGAUCCAAGCGUUAUCUGGAAUCAUUGGGUUUAAAGGGUCCGUAGGCGGUCUUAUAAGUCAGCGGUGAAAGCCCAUCGCCCAACGAUGGAACUGCCAUUGAUACUGUAAGACUUGAAUUCUUAGGAAGUAACUAGAAUAUGUAGUGUAGCGGUGAAAUGCUUAGAUAUUACAUGGAAUACCAAUUGCGAAGGCAGGUUACUACUAAGCGAUUGACGCUGAUGGACGAAAGCGUGGGGAGCGAACAGGAUUAGAUACCCUGGUAGUCCACGCCGUAAACGAUGGAUACUAGCUGUUCGGAGCAAUCUGAGUGGCUAAGCGAAAGUGAUAAGUAUCCCACCUGGGGAGUACGCACGCAAGUGUGAAACUCAAAGGAAUUGACGG